CGCACAUUGCGCCUCUUGGUAUUCCUCGAGGCAUGCCUAUUCGAGCGUCGUUUCGACCCUCAAGCCUAGCUUGGUAUUGGACGCGGUCCUAGGACCCGUCCACAACCCGUUGGCGGUACCGUCUAGCCUCAAGCGUAGCAAGAACCUCGCUUUGGGAGCCUGUGGCGGCGCCUGCCAGAGGAACCACUAAAUUUUUCAAGUUUGACCUCGGAUCAGGUAGGGAUACCCGCUGAACUUAA
rnacentral:misc_RNA from 1 species